rnacentral:misc_RNA from 1 species
UAUGAUUAGUGAUCCAAUGAUCCACCAAUCUGCAAGACCAUCGCCUACAGUGCACGCUCUACCACGCCUCGCGUGCCCACGUCAGGAAAGAAAUCCUCAUCCUCGCAGCUCUGCUUAACAAAAACACUCUGCACUCCCACUGCAAAUCCCCAAGCCAACACUUGGAGAAAUGGUAGUUUCUCUCAGGCUACCGACUUUCGCCUCCCUCUUUUUCUCCUCUCCAUCGAUACGUCGGUCACCAGCGUUUUCUGUACGUCGCCUGUAUUUCCGUCCGCCGCCUCUAACGGCUUCCUUCUGCGCUCAGAGCGCGGCGUCGAGCCCUCCUGAGACGGAGGACCGAGUUAAUAACCUCAAGAGUCGUGUCAACCAGGACCGAGUCAUUACUCCCCGAUCUCAAGAUUUCAAUGCUUGGUAUCUUGAUGUUAUUGCCAACGCCGAGCUCGCUGAUUAUGGUCCUGUCCGUGGUACUAUGGUCAUUCGUCCUUAUGGAUAUGCUAUCUGGGAGGCUAUCCAGGAUUAUUUGAAUGUUAAGUUCAAGGAGACAGGGCACAGCAAUAUGUAUUUCCCACAGUUCAUACCUUAUUCAUUUAUUGAGAAGGAAGCUAGUCAUGUUGAGGGCUUCAGUCCAGAAUUGGCUCUGGUAACUAUUGGUGGAGGAAAGGAACUUGAAGAAAAACUUGUGGUUCGACCAACUAGUGAAACCAUAGUUAAUCACAUGUUUACUCAGUGGAUUCAUAGCUACCGAGAUCUUCCUCUCAUGGUCAACCAGUGGGCAAAUGUCACAAGAUGGGAGAUGCGCACAAAACCAUUUGUGAGGACUCUUGAAUUUCUGUGGCAAGAGGGUCAUACAGCUCAUGCGACUCUAGAGGAGGCAGAAAAAGAGGCAUUACUGAUGAUUGACGUCUAUACAAAAUUUGCUUAUGCGCAAGCUGCAAUACCUGUUAUUGCAGGUCGAAAAUCAAAGGUGGAAACCUUUGCUGGUGCUGUUAGGACAUAUACAAUAGAGGCUAUGAUGGGCGAUCAGAAGGCUUUACAGGCUGGAACCAGUCACAACCUUGGUCAAAAUUUCUCUCGGGCUUUUGGAACACAGUUCACUGAUGAAAAUGGACAAAGGCAGCAUGUCUGGCAGACAUCAUGGGCCAUCAGUACCCGCUUUGUUGGUGGUAUUAUCAUGACACAUGGAGAUGAUACUGGCCUAAUGCUUCCCCCUAAAAUUGCUCCAAUACAGGUAGUGAUUGUACCGAUUUGGAAGAAAGAAAAUGAGAAAGCUGGAGUUCUCAAUGCAGCAUCAUCUGUGAAAGAAGUUUUGCAAUCUACUGGUAUCAAAGUUAAACUUGAUGACUCAGAUCAGAGAACCCCAGGAUGGAAGUUCAAUUUCUGGGAGAUGAAGGUCAGUUCUCAUUUUAACAAAUUGAAAAGCUGCCAGUCAUUAACAGUUGCACUACACAAAUUAAUUAUGAAUCAUGUGGGAGAUGACCAAACAUGUCUCAAUCAAUACAGCACACUGUACAUCCAAUCCAGCAAAAGACCCGUAUUGGCCCCUUCCUCUCGAACUAAAUGUUGAUCAUCAAUUUUGGGGGCUUGUUCUGUAUUCUUCCUGUACGAUAUCCUGUGCUUAUUUUGUAUAUAAAAAUUUGGUUGCAUUUUCUCUUUUGUAAUGCGAAAGAACCUUUCAAGUGUAUGAAAUAACACCUUAAUUUCACAGGGAGUUCCUCUGAGGAUUGAAAUUGGUCCACGGGAUGUUUCAAGUGGAAGUGUGGUUAUAUCUAGGAGAGAUGUUCCUGGAAAGCAAGGGAAAGUAUUUGGAAUAUCUAUGGACCCUUCAAUUUUAGAAGCUUAUGUCAAGGACAAGUUGGAUGAAAUCCAGUCAUCCCUUCUAAGUAGAGCAACAUCAUUUCGGGAUAGUAACAUUGUGGAUGUGAGCUCAUAUGAUGAACUCAAAGCUGCAAUAUCCCUUGGCAAAUGGGCAAGGGGUCCUUGGUCAGCUAGUGAUGCAGAUGAAUUAAAGGUGAAAGAAGAAACAGGAGCAACAAUUCGGUGUUUUCCCUUUGAACAACCUCAAGGGACUAAAACAUGCUUGAUGACUGGCAAGCCAGCAGAAGAAGUUGCAAUUUUUGCUAAAUCUUAUUGAUUUUCAAGGCAUUACUCCUUUUCAAAGAUUUGAUCUUGUUUGGGGGAGCAUUAUGAGUUAUGGUAAAAAAUUUUGUCAGAGCUCUCGCCAUCCUCAUAUUUAUAAGUUCUAUCAAAUUGGCCAAGGAAAAGUAUUUUAUUGAUUACUAUGAAUUGUUUGAAGGGAAUAUUUUAAUAGUGGGUAUAGUAUUAUCAUAUAUUCUGUCUGUGUUCUUAAAUUGGUAGUUCCUCCCGUUGGAGAGCAUGAUUAGCUGAAAAUGGUAGGGUCCAGUGUUGUUGUGUAGUUUCUUUGGAGUAGAGAUAGCAGUUAAUCUCUUGUUCAUGCUGUGCUUUGUAAAUCCCUUAUCUUUAGAGGUUUAAAAAAUUGAUUUGUGCAACAGAUGCUUUUUGUUUGAAAUCCCCUUUUAUUCAUGUUCGCUCUUUGGGUUACUGGAUACAUAAGAUGGAUGCUUGCUUGGUUUGAUUUCUGCAAUUUCCUGAAUCAACUGUUUUCUAUUUUUUGUAAAUUUUUUUAUUUAAAACGUCCUCAUCUAGUCAACUGAUUGAUUUCAUCAUAAAGCUUUCCAUUAUCACUACAUGUAUGAAAAUAUUAUCACUACAUAUAUGAAACUACCAUAAGAUUUUAGGAAUCUGAAAAUGUAGCCUCAUCUCUCUUGCCUCACCAGCUAAAGCUAAUGGACUCGAAAUGUAGGUUAUCUACCAAGCUGGAUGAACAGAUUGCUGCCAAUUCUUGCCUCAUCUUUCUUGGCCCGCUUACAAGAACUCCUACACUGUCUCCUUUGCACUCCAAUAAUAUUUCUGUAAGAAUCAACAAUUUAGGAAUUUAGACUAUAAUGACAUACAUACAUGUAGUUCUUAUUUGUCAUUUUUUUUGCAUUUUAAUUUUGUUGUAUUUCAUUACACUUGGUUACUUCUAACUGCACACUGAAUAUAUUUGGUGAAUCUUAAGGUUUAUAGAGAAAGUGUGAGGAAAAUAGCUUACUUUUUAAGUUCGGCCUUUCACCUUGGUGCACCCUGGUGGCUUGGAGAAGAGAUUGGUGAGGAAGGCUUUCCAACUCUCUGUCAGCAUGGCGGGACUGCAAACCUGGGGACAUUCCUGGUGUUGGCAUAUCUGUGUUCUGAAUUUGCUUGAUUUCCUUGGCAUUCUGUUUCUUGUUCCAAAGAAAUGCUGCAGAGGCAGCCAUCACUAUGGAGAUGCUUAUAAAGAAUAGGUUUAAAGCAGCCCUUGCAGGCAAAGAGUAUAUCAUAUCAGUAUUAUGGUCAAUUGGAUAUAUGUAGUAUCUUGUGAGAGUGGUGAUGAGGAUAAGGAAGAUGAUGAAAGAAGCUGAAAUUAUUGCACCAAGCCAAAGCCAGCUAUUUGGACCUAGGACUGCAGAGACUGGCACAUCUGAUACGUCAGGCUUGAACCAUAUUGUUCUGAGGAGCUUCUGUGGAUCUGCUUGGGCCAAUUUCUCUCUGGUAACGUAGGCUUCAAUUUGUAACUGCAAAUGGGAGAUGUCAAAGGUGGUGCCUGUAACUGGGAGUAGAAGCUCUAGCAUGGUGAGAUCCACAGAUUUCUUGAAAGCACAUACGAGGAGAAGCCUCGGGGUCCUGCCAUUCGUUGUAUUGGCUAGAAAUAGGAUCUCACGUGUGAUGGAGAUAAAAGGGGUUAUCCCACUUCCUCCACUAACCAUCACUAGCAAGUCAUGCCUGCAGAAACACUCUCCAUGUUAAUUCAGGCACAUCAAACGUGUGAUAGAAUGUCUUCAAAAUUUGUUUAGAGAGCAAUCACCUCAUAAAAUGAGUUGAAGCAGGACCAUAGGGUCCUUCAAAGGAGACCUGAAGGCGGUCUAUUGGAGCAGGGGAUGACAGCAUCUGAUACAACUUGUGAGACCAAUUGCCUUCACAUUUGAUGACUAUGCUCAACUUUUCAGGAUCCAUAUUGCUGCUGGUUGUGAUUGUAAAGGGAUGCCAUUGUACCUUGGAUAUUCUAGGUACAUUUACAAAUGCGGUGCUUCUUGGAGAAUAGCGCAAUCCUGGCACAGGUUGAACUUCAAUUGCACAUAAAUAGAUUUGCAUAAGAAAUCAUCUAGUUACAAGGGUUAAACCUCACCUGGGUUCUUGGAGAAAUUUAGCUCUACAGUUUCACAGGGCAAAAUUCGUGCUGAAACCAAGCGAAUUCUCUGUUGGGAUUGUAAUAACCUCAAGUAUCGAUCGAUCAUGAAGAGGUAGAAACCAGGAAGGAUAAUGCAAGCACGAGAGAAGCAAACAUGAAACACAUAGAAGACAACAAAAGGAAUAUAGAGGUGAUGACUAUAGAAGAAGAGCUCGAAAAUCUUUCGUCUUAUGCGUUUUAAGCUUGUGACCCACAUGAUCAAUCCAGAAAGCAAAGCUAUUUCGCCGGCCACAUUCGAAAUAAAGUGCUUGUCCCAUUUUAGCAUCUGCCAUCCAGGAGGGAUACUUGAAUUUUCAAAAUUAUUCAAAGCUGAAACGCAACAUUUCUCCAAGUGAUUUGGGGAUUGAAGCUUUUACCUGAGACAAUUGAUGGGUUUUGCCCCAAAAAAUAAUAUAGCAUAAGCCGUGGGCGGUGAAGAUAGUCAUGGCAAUAUGGCCUAGCCAUAUAUGGUACUUGAUACUGGCUUCUGAGGUGAGGCCAAGAAUCUGCAAAACUGAGGAGCCUCUGGCUAUUGGGAAGAAGAGAAAGACCAGACAGACAUUCCCAACUAAUCCCAGAGAUAAAGCUGAUAUUUCCAACUUGACUUCCCACCUGCCAAAACGCCCAAAUAAAUGAAAUGAAACUAAAGUUGAAAGAUUGUGGAAAAACGGGAAAAGUUGUAGAAAGAAAUCCUUACACUUGGAAUCCCAAAGAUGCAGCCGUAGGAGCAGCAUACGCGAACAUGGCUUGCAAGUAAGAAUACAAUGACCACACCAUUAACGCAAAGAACAUACCCAAUAAUGAUAGCUCUAUCCCCGUCACAAUCCCAAGAGGACCUUUCGCGAGCACCGGACGUUUGCACCAGGCAAACAAAGAAUGAACUUUGCUGUUUCCAAGAACCCAUUAACUUUAUUAGUAAAGCAGAGAUUAAUCAAACAUAGAGCAUAUUAAUAUAUGUAUCUUUAUUAGCAUUAGAGCAUCUUUGAUUACCCGGUGCCACCAUUAACAGAUUUCUUUCCCAGAUGGAGGUAUGCACAGGCCAAGGUAGCAAUAAAGAGAAUGGGGAACACAUGUACCAGCGUAUAUGAACCUAUUGAAUUCAUGGAAGUAGAAGAAAAACGUAACAUAUAAA